GGAAGUCUAUUUGUACUGUCCACUCUCGUUACAAAAAUUUGAAGUAGCUGAUGCUGUCAUCUCCUCGUCUGACUCUCCCUCUAUCUCAUCUUACUGUCCACUCUUGUUACAAAAAUGUGAAGUAGCUGAAGCUGUUAUCUCGUCGUCUGACUCUCCCUCUCUUUUAUCUCAUGGGUGAUGAUGGUGGUGCUAGUUUUGUCGCGAUCUGGCGGUGCCGGUAGAUGUGGCGGAAUUGGGCGCCUGAAAGUUGAUUUCUGUAGGUUUAUGUUGAUAUUUUCGCUGUGGGUGCGGUGGUUGUCGGGUUUCUGUUGAUUUUCGGCUUGAUUUGUGGGGGUGGGUGCGGCGGAUUCUAUUUUUAUUUUUAGUUUGAUUUGUGUGGUGGAUGCGGUCCGGUUUGACGGUGCUGGGAUUUAUGGUUUUUCUGAUCUAAUUGGGUUUUGUGAAUAGCAUGGUUUGUUGAAGGAUGGUACUAGGUAGUGAGAAGUCCCCCCUGGAAUAAAAAAAUGAUGAUAUCGACAAUGAAUAGUAGUUUUAUUAUGCAAAGGUCAAGUCUUCUUGUUUACAAUUACAAUCACACCAAACCCGUUUCACUUCUCCCAUUCAAAUUCCAAUUCCACCAUUCUCUCUCUCAUUCUCUUACUAAAAGCAAAAGCGAAAGGACCCUAUUAAACCUGCACCACCAAAACCCUAAUAGUAUUAGCAAGAAGAUGGUGGUCCAGUGCGCUUUAUCAUCGUCGGUAUCAGAGGCAGUUAAAAAGGCGCUGAUCCGAUCUUCUUCUCUCACGUGGGAGUCGGCAAUCCUGAGCAACAUGUUGAUCUUUGUAUUGGGUUUACCAAUUCUGCUUUCUGGCCUCUCUCUCUCAGGGAUUGCCUCUGCUUUCCUUUUGGGCACUCUCACAUGGCGAGCUUUUGGUCCCUCUGCUUUCCUUCUCGUUGCCACUUACUUCAUCAUUGGGACAGCAGUAACGAAAGUGAAGAUGGCACAAAAGGAGGCACAAGGGGUUGCUGAGAAGAGAAAGGGAAGAAGAGGACCAGGCAGUGUUAUUGGUUCCAGUGCUGCUGGUUGCAUCUGUGCAUUUCUUUCAAUUUUUCAAGUUGGGGGACCUGCUUUUUCUCAGCUUUGGAAACUCGGCUUUGUUGCCAGUUUUUGUACUAAGUUGAGUGAUACUGUCUCAAGUGAGAUAGGGAAGGCAUAUGGUAAAACAACGUAUCUAGUUACGACAUUUAAGACAGUCCCAAGGGGAACUGAAGGGGCUGUGAGUGUCGAGGGAACCAUUGCUGGACUUUUAGCAUCAAUUCUUCUUUCCUUUGUUGCUUGUGUCAUGCGUGAGAUAAGUGCACCUGAAGCAAUUAUAUGCAUAAUAGCUUCCCAGGUUGCUAAUGUUGGUGAGAGCAUAAUAGGUGCUGCACUUCAAGAGAAGGAAGGAUUUCAAUGGGCAACUUCUUGUUCCAGUCUUGGAGUUGUGGAUUCUGCUGGGUUUUGGUGGGGCAGGGGCAAGGUCAGGGACAGACCCAUGUUGGCCACACCCCCCCCACCCCCCCCCCCCCCCUCUCAAAAUCUUGGCUCCCUUCCCUCCAAUCUUGGCCCUUAACCAAAAUUUAACACAAAUAACAUCACAAAUUAAACAAAAAAAAAAAAAAACCAUGUAUAAGCCCAAACAGCCCACAAAUUUAAUAAAAACUUCACAAAAAUUAAUUAAAAAAAUUGAUACCCACAGAUCAGCCCAUUGACAAAAAAAAUUAGAAAAAAGAAGAGACCAAUAUAGUCAUAUAGACUAGAAAAAGAGAGUCCGAGAGUCGAACUAUAUCUGUUACCAGAUCUGCCCCAACAGUUCUAAGUCAGAGAGAGAGAGAGAGAGAGUGUGGCAGAGAGCUCCGAUGCUGACAAACCACAAUUGUGCUACCACCAGCCACUCCUCAGUCCUCGCCUCACCAGAUCUGUGAUUCAAUCUCACAACUCAACAACGAUGUUGUCAAUAUUAUCAAUAUAUCAAUGGGCAGCAUUAUAGCGGUGCUGAUGCAGCAACUUCUGCUCCAAAAAUGGUUCAUGUGAAUUUGCUGCCACCUCUCCCUAGAUAUCAGGCAUCUUAACCCGAUGCUCUAAUGGGGGUUAGGAGGCAAACCUUGUGUUGGAAGGGGUGGGAAUCAUGGCAAUACGAGGACAUCAAUGUAUAGUUGUAAUAGCUAAUUUAUUUUAUUUCUUUUUCUCUGUAUCUUCAUCAAUCAAAAUCUUUAUCGUAUGCUCAUUUCUUUUGAAAUUAAAGAUAAAAAAGUGUGUUGUUGGGAACAUAAAAACAAAGGAAGUGCUUACACCUUCAGUGGAACAAUUAUUUAUUUUUGUUUUA